GGCCUGCGCGGAAGAUGUAACGGGGCUAAACCAUGCACCGAAGCUGCGGCAGCGAACGUAUCACUUAAAGCGAUUCAGCGGGUUACGAUUGACGGAGCGAAGCGACGUCAAAGCGUAUACAAAGUCGAGUCGGUUUAAGGAUACGUUCGUUGGGUAGGGGAGCGUUCUGUAAGCCUGCGAAGGUGGCCUGUGAGGGUUGCUGG
rnacentral:rRNA from 1 species